rnacentral:lncRNA from 1 species
GGGGCGCAUGUGGGCAUUGCAGGGCCUCUCCCCCCAUCCGGUCUAAAGAGAAUCGGGCCUUCGACUUUGCUCAAGUUAGGGCGAGGUUCUCCUCCUGUCCCUAACAGGGCUGUGGGGGCGCAUGUGGGCGUUGCAGGGCCUCUCCCCCCAUCCGAUCUAAAGAGAACCGGGCCUUCGAUUUUGUCGAGAUGAAGUUCCCCUCUUGUUUCCGAUGC